rnacentral:lncRNA from 1 species
CAUCCUCGUCAGUUUUGCAGUCUGCGAGUUCAACGAAAGAAAACGUUUAACAGCGCUGUUUAAUACGGUACCGCACCGCCGUUGCUAUGUGUACAUUCAGGGAAAUCUUAAUCUGUACAUCGUUUGCCGUCUGUUUCUCUCAGUUGCUAAUAGUAUGCAAAGCAGACCAAGAUGUAACGUAUAAUUUCACGGCAUUAAGUGACGCUGAUAUAGUUUCAUAUGGAAAAGACCUUCUCUUGAAGCCGAAGGAUGAAUUCAAGGAAUACGGCAAGGAACUGAUCAAGCGAUAUUACUCUGCCGCGCGAGUUUUUGAUGUUGUGAAUGCUACUAUCCACGAAGCGAAAAGAUUUGCAGUCGAGAAGAAUCAGACACUAAGUGACCAAGAUCCAGUCUGGAAAGCUCUGAACGAAACGAUCGAACAUUCCGGGGAAAAUCUGUCGAAACUGAACACAACAGUGACAGCGUUUAACAGCGCAGCCGAGCGACGAGGCGAAAUAAAAGCCAUCAUAAAAGCUGUGGAGGCUGGAGCUAAGUACUUCACUCAAGCUUUCAAAGGAAGCAAAGGUGAUAAGAAGAAGGAUUCCUCGAAGCCGAAAGAUCAUACGGUGCUAGGUGCUUCUCCGUCUCUUUCCCACUGUCCGUCUGUUCCUCAGCAAUGUAGCUGUCCCCCAGUCCAGAAGUGUAGCUGUCCGCCAGUUCAGAAGUGUAGCUGUCCGCCAGUUCAGCAAUGUAACUGUCCUCCUGUAAAUCGACCAUCCGGUGUCUAUGGACAGCCACCCUCGAAAGAUAAAACUAAGCCUCCAAUGAACAGCGGAUCACGACCUGCCCAAUACACCGGGUAG